ensembl:lncRNA
CCCCGCUGCCGCCUAUUUCCUUCUCUUAAAUAUUUAAUGAGCAGAUCCCCACCCACACCGCAGUCCCUUUGCCACCAUUUCCCGUUGCUGUCAGCCUUGUGCUCAGGCUGUGAGCCUCCGUGUGCUGGGCUGUUCCUUAAAGUUUUGACAAACACUGAUAUUUCCCAUGGCAACGGCCCCGUCACAACAGAGCUCACUUUCAGAGAAACAAAUGCAGCUCCGCACUGCCAGCUGCCUUUCAAACAGAUGUUUGACUGCAGAGGAGAUUUACAGCAGCUCUUAGUUUGGAGAAAUGAAUAUCAUUGCCUGGAGAAGGUAUCUCCUGGUGCUGCCGCAGAAGUCCCAGCCCAGAGGUGACAGCCAAAACCACCUGGAUGUGACCCGAAACUGCAACAAGGUGCACCAAGACAGCAACUGGGGCAAAAGUGCCCCCGAAGCGCCCCCACACUUCACACCCUGCCUUACAGCUCAGUGCUGAGCAGAGCCUGGAAAACCUGCUGGUUCUAGGGCCAUGGGAAGAAGAUUUAAU